rnacentral:rRNA from 1 species
AUGGCGGCGACCGGCGAAAGGGUGAGUAACGCGUGAGCAACGUGCCCGUAUGUGGGGGAUAGUCGAUGGAAACGUCGCGUAAUACCCCGUAACACGAGGGACCGCAUGAUCUCUCGUUGAAAGAUUUAUUGCAUACGGAUCGGCUCGCGUGCCAUUAGGUAGACGGCGGGGUAACGGCCCACCGUGCCGACGAUGGCUAGGGGUUCUGAGAGGAAGGUCCCCCACAUUGGAACUGAGACACGGUCCAGACUCCUACGGGAGGCAGCAGUGAGGAAUAUUGGACAAUGGCCGGAAGGCUGAUCCAGCCAUGCCGCGUGCGGGAGGACGGCCCUAUGGGUUGUAAACCGCUUUUGCGAGGGAGCAAUAAGGGUAACGUGUUGCCCGAUGAGAGUACCUCGCGAAUAAGCAUCGGCUAACUCCGUGCCAGCAGCCGCGGUAAUACGGAGGAUGCAAGCGUUAUCCGGAUUUAUUGGGUUUAAAGGGUGCGUAGGCGGUUUGCUAAGCGGGAGGUGAAAUGCCGGCGCUCAACGUCGGAAGUGCCUCCCGAACUGGUGGACUGGAAUGACUCUGCCGUGGGAGGAAUGUGUAGUGUAGCGGUGAAAUGCUUAGAGAUUACACAGAACACCGAUUGCGAAGGCAUCUCACGAAGGGUGAUGACG